rnacentral:rRNA from 1 species
GACGAGGCACUACGGUGCUGAAGCAACAAAUGCCCUGCUUCCAGGAAAAGCCUCUAAGCAUCAGGUAACAUCAAAUCGUACCCCAAACCGACACAGGUGGUCAGGUAGAGAAUACCAAGGCGCUUGAGAGAACUCGGGUGAAGGAACUAGGCAAAAUGGUGCCGUAACUUCGGGAGAAGGCACGCUGACACGUAGGUGAAGUGAUUUACUCACGGAGCUGAAGUCAGUCGAAGAUACCAGCUGGCUGCAACUGUUUAUUAAAAACACAGCACUGUGCAAACACGAAAGUGGACGUAUACGGUGUGACGCCUGCCCGGUGCCGGAAGGUUAAUUGAUGGGGUCAGCGCAAGCGAAGCUCCUGAUCGAAGCCCCGGUAAACGGCGGCCGUAACUAUAACGGUCCUAAGGUAGCGAAAUUCCUUGUCGGGUAAGUUCCGACCUGCACGAAUGGCGUAAUGAUGGCCAGGCUGUCUCCACCCGAGACUCAGUGAAAUUGAACUCGCUGUGAAGAUGCAGUGUACCCGCGGCAAGACGGAAAGACCCCGUGAACCUUUACUAUAGCUUGACACUGAACAUUGAGCCUUGAUGUGUAGGAUAGGUGGGAGGCUUUGAAGUGUGGACGCCAGUCUGCAUGGAGCCGACCUUGAAAUACCACCCUUUAAUGUUUGAUGUUCUAACGUGGACCCGUAAUCCGGGUUGCGGACAGUGUCUGGUGGGUAGUUUGACUGGGGCGGUCUCCUCCUAAAGAGUAACGGAGGAGCACGAAGGUUGGCUAAUCCUGGUCGGACAUCAGGAGGUUAGUGCAAUGGCAUAAGCCAGCUUGACUGCGAGCGUGACGGCGCGAGCAGGUGCGAAAGCAGGUCAUAGUGAUCCGGUGGUUCUGAAUGGAAGGGCCAUCGCUCAACGGAUAAAAGGUACUCCGGGGAUAACAGGCUGAUACCGCCCAAGAGUUCAUAUCGACGGCGGUGUUUGGCACCUCGAUGUCGGCUCAUCACAUCCUGGGGCUGAAGUAGGUCCCAAGGGUAUGGCUGUUCGCCAUUUAAAGUGGUACGCGAGCUGGGUUUAGAACGUCGUGAGACAGUUCGGUCCCUAUCUGCCGUGGGCGCUGGAGAACUGAGGGGGGCUGCUCCUAGUACGAGAGGACCGGAGUGGACGCAUCACUGGUGUUCGGGUUGUCAUGCCAAUGGCACUGCCCGGUAGCUAAAUGCGGAAGAGAUAAGUGCUGAAAGCAUCUAAGCACGAAACUUGCCCCGAGAUGAGUUCUCCCUGAGACUUUAAGUCUCCUGAAGGAACGUUGAAGACGACGACGUUGAUAGGCCGGGUGUGUAAGCGCAGCGAUGCGUUGAGCUAACCGGUACUAAUGAACCGUGAGGCUUAACCUU